rnacentral:tRNA from 1 species
GCUGGAAUGGUCUAGUUGGUUAUGACGACUGCCUCACACGCAGUAGGUUCCGAGUUCGACUUUCGGUUCCAGUA